rfam:Oryza meridionalis cultivar OR44 (W2112) chromosome 3, whole genome shotgun sequence.
AACCUAUGCAUUUGUUAGUUUCUGUGUCCAAUAUUUAACCAUCCGUCUUAUUUAAAUUUUUUUAUGAUUAAUAUUUUUAUUGUUAUUAGAUGAUAAAAGAUGAAUAAUAUUUUAUAUGUGACUUAUAUUUUUUUUAUAAAUUUUUUAAAUAAGAUAGACAGUCAGACUUUGAACUAACACCUACAGACGCACUUAAA